UGCAAUGACGGGAUUCGAACCCAGCGAUUGCGCGUUCUUUGCACGACGCUCUACCAACUGAGUUAAUUGUGC